rnacentral:rRNA from 1 species
AGAGUUUGAUUCUGGCUCAGGAUGAACGCUGGCGGCGUGCUUAACACAUGCAAGUCGAACGAAGCACCUUAUCCGACGAAAUGGAGUACUUGUACAAAGUGGAGUCAACCGAGGUGACUGAGUGGCGGACGGGUGAGUAACGCGUGGGUAACCUACCUUAUACCGGGGGAUAACAGUUAGAAAUGACUGCUAAUACCGCAUAAGCGCACAGUAUCGCAUGAUACAGUGUGAAAAACUGAGGUGAUAUAAGAUGGACCCGCGUCUGAUUAGAUAGUUGGUGAGGUAACGGCUCACCAAGUCAACGAUCAGUAGCCGGCCUGAGAGGGUGAACGGCCACAUUGGGACUGAGACACGGCCCAAACUCCUACGGGAGGCAGCAGUGGGGAAUAUUGGACAAUGGGGGAAACCCUGAUCCAGCGACGCCGCGUGAGUGAAGAAGUAUUUCGGUAUGUAAAGCUCUAUCAGCAGGGAAGAAAAUGACGGUACCUGACUAAGAAGCCCCGGCUAACUACGUGCCAGCAGCCGCGGUAAUACGUAGGGGGCAAGCGUUAUCCGGAUUUACUGGGUGUAAAGGGAGCGUAGACGGUAUGGUAAGUCAGAUGUGAAAGGUGGGGGCUCAACCCCCAAACUGCAUUUGAAACUAUCAGACUAGAGUGUCGGAGAGGUAAGUGGAAUUCCUAGUGUAGCGGUGAAAUGCGUAGAUAUUAGGAGGAACACCAGUGGCGAAGGCGGCUUACUGGACGAUAACUGACGUUGAGGCUCGAAAGCGUGGGGAGCACAACAGGAAGGGAUACCCUGGUAGUCCACGCCGUAAACG